UCUGUAUUUUCCACAGUAUGCAUCCGAUGAAGUGAGCUGUAGCUCACGAAAGCUUAAGCUCAAAUAAAUUGGUUAGUCUCUAAGGUGCUACAAGUACUCCUUUUCUUUCUGUGCAUGUUAAAUCUCAACAAUAUGCAGUAGUAACUGUUUGUGCAUUUUUUAUCCUGAGUUGUUUUUAAAUGUUUUAGUGAAUCUGUUGCUUAUGUAAGAUGCCAGAUUGACAGUUCUGGAGUCUGAAGUUCUGCUGAGCCACAGGACAGAGAGAACUACUAACAGCAGGGCAGACUUCCACAUGCUGGUCCCCUUAUGUUCCUUAAUCAUGUUCUGAAGGGACCAUUUCUAAGGAUGACGUUUUCAUGCCCAUUUAAUCCUUGGCCACUGCAGUGGGACUGCAAAUGUGCCAGUAGGAAUUGUGAUUCUGUAAUAUGUUUCAGAGUAGCAGCCGUGUUAGUCUGUAAUCGCAAAAAGAAAAGGAGUCCUUGUGGCACCUUAGAGACUAACAAAUUUAUUUGAGCAUAAGCUUUCGUAAGCUACAGCUCACUUAAGCUUAUGCUCAAAUAAAUUUAUUAGUCUCUAAGGUGCCACAAGGACUCCUUUUCUUUUUGUAUAUAAAUAUGUGCCUAUUAAGAAUUGGACUAAACCCAAACACUUUAUGUAGGGUACUGAAAAGCCCUCAGAUAGUAAUGAUUUCUGGUUGCUAACAGCCUACACCUAGGCCGUAUCUACACAACUAAAGACCUAUGUCUGUAUAACUACAUUGCUCAGGGGUGGGGGGGGAAAUCAUGUGGCUCAGGGGUAUGGACAUAACUACCCCUCUCGUGGAGGUGGUUUAACUACAGCAAUGAGAGAAGCUCUUCCAUCAGCAUAGUAGCAUUUUCACUAAAGCGUUACAGCUACACUCCUGUAGCGCUGUACAUGAAGACAAGCCCCUAGAAGUGAAAAGUUUUAUAUACCGUUGCCAUUCCCCUGAGAUUGAUCAUUAGAUCAAUUGCCACUCCAGUUCAAGACACAUUCAGUUACCACAUUCAGUUCAAUGACGGGUUUUGGGUGAGAGUAGUGUAGUUGAGAAUUAAGUGCAGAUGAUCAUAUUUAAAUAAAUGCACAUAAGUUUGACUAUGCCUUCAACUGUUUAUUUGAAUAUCUUCAUAUAUAUAAUAUUUUUCUAUCAUGUUCAAUUAUCUAAAUAUAGAAACUUGUACACUUAUUAGAACAAUAAUGCAUUAGGCUACUUUCACUCACUUAUUGCUCGUAUAUUUUUCUCGGAUAAUCCCCUCCUUCUCAGUUUAAUAAAGCACACAUACCGAACUGAGAACAACUAUGCCAAAUUUUAAACUUUUAAAUAAAAGCAUUGGAACCAUCAGAGGGGAAGAGGUAUUACAUAUUUUUUCAAAACCAUAAAACUACUAUCAUUUUCUCAUGCUCAUAUAAGUCAUUUUCUUCAAAACAACUCACCUUUGGGAUAGAAUCAAGUACGACAAACUUCAGGCCCCAAAAUCAAAAAUAGAGACUUUGAAUCAAAGUACCUCUUGACUCAUCAGCAUAGUGUCACAACAGUGGUACCUCUACACAAGUUUCUCAUCCCACAUGAACUAUUGAGAGUUCCUACCCAGUAUCCAGCAAUGCAUCUUUAUCUUAAUUAAUGUUAUCACAAGAUGGUAAUUUCCCAGUGAUGGCCUCCUUUUUUUUCCUCCAUGAACUCUUUCAGGCACUUGCCUUAUGCAUGAGAUUACCAUACCCUUUGUUUAGUGCAGAUUACUCUUUAGCAAUGUUUGUUGUAAAUUGCCUAAUGUAUCUAAUAAUGCAGCUGGAAUAAUAGAUGGGUGUGGGAAAUUCCCUGUGGCUGUUGUUCCCAUGCAACAUUUAGUAUAGUCAGUUUUAGUUUCAGUGUAAAAUUUUGUUUUACUUAUGGUAUUCGCCAUCCCAAACCAAACAAUGUAGCCCCAGACUAAAAGAAAAUAGUUAGCCUACAGCUCCUCAUGACAUUUUAUGUAGACAAGAUAAAACUAUAUAUACAAAUUAAGAAAAUUUAUAUAUAAUAUAAUAUAUAUAAUAAUAAAAGUUAUUCUAGGGAUUUAAAAGGGCUAUAAAUAUCAAGACACUGUUUAGAAUGAUUAUAGCUUCAGGAAACUUCAAAUUCAGUGGGAUUCAUUCCUUUAGUGUAAAUAAAUCCUAUAACUUCAACUUCUUUAUUUCUAACAAAAAUAAUUAUGAAUUAUCAAUAAAAGUGAGGCAGUUCUAAAGUUAUGUGAAACAUAAAUACCUUUGAGACAAACUGAGUGAUGUCUCUCAAAAUGAAUUACAUACAUUUAAUAGAUGCUCUUGCCAUAAAAGACUUGCAAUCUAAGGCCCUGCUCCUCCAAACACUUCUGUGCAAUGUCUCAGACCAUCCAUGAGCUUUUCAUUAUGAGCAUAUCCAUACUCUGACCCAUAAAAUAUUAUCAGAGGGUUCAUUUCUCUUCCAAAAUUCCACCUGAGCACAACUUGAUGCUACCAGUUGUUGGAACAGUUUUGUAUUAUAAAGAGAAUAUUAUAGCUCUUUUAAUCCAGGAGAGACAGAUGCACUCUGCAUAGAUUUAUGGGUAAUUUUGCUUUUAUAUGCUAUUACGUUUAAAGAGUUACUUGUCAAUGUUAGGAAUUCCCUCCUUAUUUAGUUUUCAAAUAAAAUUUAGAACCUAAUAAGUACCUAACAAUACUAGUCAGCAGCUGUUUUCAGUUGGAGAAGAUUGAAAAUUUGCACCUCUUACUGACAGCAAGUGCGUAGACUCUAAAGAGAUGUUUUGUAAUUUGGUGAAUGUGACUUGUCAGUGAUGAAAAAUUUCAAAGUUAGUAUGAUACUAAUUUAGAAACAUCAGUUUUAAGUAUAAUUAAAAUUUGGUUAGAAUGCUUCUAUGUGGUAUAUACUGGUUGUAAAUUAUUGUGCAAUCACUUAUAGAUUAGGGGUAGUAAACAUUAUGGUUAAAAGGAAAUACCAACACAGCAUGACUUAUACAAUACUCUUACUUCCCUAUACUUAAAACGGCUCUGAAAACAAAAAUCCAUUUUUAAACCAUUUCUAGCUUUAAAAUUAUUGGGGGGGUUUUCCUCCCAAUGCUUAUAUUUAAUUUUCCAAACGAAGACACAUUUAACAAAAAAUGCCGCUGCCAGGGAUUACCCAUUAGAACAUGUUUAGACCAAAGUAGAUUACAGGAACCUCAGACAAAUAUGUAGAGUAAUGUAACACCAUACAGAGCAAUAGUUUGAAAGAGGAGAAAGGAAAUUUCAUGCCAACAAUUUAUCCAAUCAUGCAGAAUCAUCUAUGCAUGCAAGUAGCUCAGUAAUGAGGCAAGCCUCUAAAUUAUAUACACCGUGUCAGAGAAUUUGGUGAACAGUGUUUGACUAGCAUGGUGGAGCAUAUACCUGUUCCUCUGUCGUCUCAUAAAUAUUUUUUAUCAUGAGAAUGUCCUGCACUUUACUAUCCACUAACAUGGGCAACCUUUAGGCAAAUGGAGCAUAGCAGCAUUAGGAAGGAGAAGGAGCCUUCCCAUCUUAAUCCCAAAGGAACAGUGCCAUAUGACUGGGCAAUCACAGAGAGAUUAUGCACAUACCUCAGUUAGGUUUCUUGGUAUUCAGUAUGAAACACCAGUGCAAGUUACUGAUUAUUCUCCAGAGAGUCAAUGAGUCACUGCACUUGUACGUUCAGAAUCCUUCAUGUCACAUGGUAAGUAAAGCAGGAGACAUUAUCUACUGAUUCCCCAACAAGUUCAGAGUACCGACUACUGAAACAUACUGUGUAAGUACUAUUUACUUUGGUAGUUAGUCACCAGACAAUGACAAAGCUGUCAAACAUGCCAUGGGCCUUUGCUGACAUUUGGCAAUUACUCCUUUAGGGUCCAAUCCUGCAAUACAUACAAUAUGUGGAGGUCAGUGGGACUACUCAUGUGUCUAGAGACAUCUCUCCAAAGUGAAGACACUUAUUUAAAGCAGUCUAAUACCUAGAUAUUCUAUACACCAGAUUUCAGCCUAGAGUGAACAGUGAACUGUUCCAGCCAGGAAUACAAACCCCUGGAAUUGAGCUGCCAGUGGGAUGGAGACAGUGUCUCACUCUACAGCACUUGAUGAGAGGGCCACAAUUAAAAUGGCUCAUCACUGUGUGCUAGAAUUCUUCUGAGAUUGCAAAUCAGUGGAAUAAAUUUAAUGGUUCAGUGUGGUAGUAUUGUAGAGCUGGGCUUGGAAAGAUAUUUUAGAUUUUUAUCAAUAUUCAUUGGUAACAGUGUAACAUGCAUGUUUGUUUGCAGUAUGCCAACUCCACGAUGGGCAAAAGAAUCCAGUUAUCCACAUAUCUUGAAGCCGUUUUUCCAUGGCUCUCCAAUAUUCCUAAGAUAUGACCCUUGAGAAGGUCCUAUUGUGAUUUCUAACUCACACACCCUUUCAAUCCUGCUAUGAGAACUGUAGCCCUGGCAUCUUUGUGAUCGGUCUACAUCCAUCACUGAAUUCAAAAGUCACAGUCUUUAAGGCUUACAUGAUUUACAGUACAAUACUUACAUCAGAGCACUGGAGAUUUUAACUCCAUGGGAGCCAGGGACUAUCGGAGGCUGCCAGAGCUGCUGGGUUCUGCAAUCAGUUCUUCCAAAAUGUAGAGGGUACAGGUGUGUCUGGGAUGAUUAUGAUGGAGGAAGAAGCAGGUCUGUUGGGAAAGUCAUGGGGAGGAAGGAAGAUGGGGCAGGUGGGGUUGGGAGCUGGCAGUGCCUCUUCCAACAGGAGCAGAACCACAGGUAAGGUUUGGGGUCAGUUUGUUUAGAGAGAGAGCCACAGAUUCAGGACAGUUCUGAACUGUUUUGCCUAAGACCCCAUUUAAACACAGGGCUUGACUGUGAAUUUCUAUUUGUCCUAGGCAGUUUCUUUUUUUUGGCCCUGUUUCAGUUCAGUGUUAAUGGUUGUGUGUAAAAUAAUUCUACAUAUAGGCAGGUCAUAAACCUCAGGAAAACAGGGUUUAUAAUAGAAGUGCCAUGGUGCAGAGAUCUGUUCUGUGGUACAGUAUUUACAUGGCCUAACAUUUCCAUAAACAAGAGUUUUAAAGGGAAGACCCACCCAUUCUGGCUCUCAGUUGGCACCUAGGACGUCAGCAGAACGGUUGAUCGGACAAACUAGUACUUCUAAUGCCGUUAAGCAAAAUAAUUUAGAGUGUAGCAGUGCAGUGUUUUUAAGCAGUGGGAUCUCUGCUCUCUCAUGGAACAAGUUAUUUUAAUUAAAGUAGUCCUAGUGGCACAGGAGCUACUGAAAGAAAACAAGUCACUAGUUAUAACUUUCAAACAAACUGACAUUUGAUUGGAUCUAUACAACGGAGGAGGUAUUUCAAAAACAAACAAAACAUGCUGGCAUUGAAGUACUUUCAUGCUAUAUCAGAUAUGUUUAAUUAAGAUGCACUAUAAACCUUGACAUUUGCUUUGACAUGUUUAGAUAUUUUAAUCUUUUUUCUAUCUCCCAUGGUCACAGUCUCUCAAUCUUGUUUUAGAGAGGAAGGAUGGUUUUGUGGUUAAGGUACUGGACCAAGAUUUGGGAGAACUAGGCUGUAAACCUGGCUCUGCCAUAGAAUCUAUCUAUCUAUGUAUGUAGAAUCUUGGGCAAGUCACUAAAUCAAUCUGUACCUUAUUAUACUUCUGUAAAAUGGGAAAAAAUAAUCAUUCUUGUCUUCUCUAUAUAGAUUGUAAGCUUUUUGGGACAGAAACUGUCUUUUAUUAAGUGUUUAUUACUUAGUGCUACUGUAACACAAUUUUUAAAAAAAAUAUAAUGUAACAUCACAUCAGUGCCAUGACGAGCAGUUAAACUCUUCCUGAUCAUGUGCCAAUAGCUGAUGAAAUAUUGUAGGAAACAUGACUGACAGAGACAGCUUGGUUACCGUGCAUGGGGUUAAAUUUGACAUUUGGAAGGAAAAUCAGUUUCAGCAGCAAGCCAGAUCAAGACAUGCCUUCCAUAGUUAGUGCUGCCCACUGGGUACUAAUUAUGUCAUUGAUAUAGCAUGACUGUUCUGCUGUAGAGCGUGAUAGCUGUGUGUCACCAGGCUGUGUUUCUCCCCAGCUCCAAAGCAUGUGCCGCCACACCCAGUCAUUUGCAAGAUUUAUUGAUUUACAGAGGUUAACAAACAAACAGUCUAAAUUUAGCAAAGUCUAAACAGAAAAAAAAUCUCAGCUUAGCCUCAGGGCCCCCUCUCCCAGGAGUGUCUGGCACACCUGUUCCUGGUAGCUUCCCAGUUUCCAUCAGCUCUGCUCCCACCCUGAAGAAACCGCCCCAGUGCUACUUCUUUGAGCCCCUUGCUCUAGGGACCCACCACAGGCAAUAGCUUUCCCUCCCCAGGCAUAGCCUUUCUCAGUCCCUCCCUCAGCUGCCCACUAGCAGCCCUGUAUAGGCCCUCUAUAGGUACCCCAGUCCCCUUUAAUUGGCUGGAUUGGGCUCACCUGCUCUGGUCCAGGGGAGCUGGGUGUAGUCUAUUCACAGGGACCAGCUACCCUGUGACACUGCCCCUUGUUUGAACUUCAGAUGAACAAGUCAUUCAGAUUGGCCCCUUGACAUCAAGGCUACCAAGCUUCUCCUCCUUCUCAUUUGGCAAGGGAUGGAGAAGGGCUGCAAAGAGCAGAUGCCGAAUGAGGUCAUCACAUAUAUCAGCCAGCUUGCCUUAAUUGUCCCAAUGGGGGCUCUUAUUUACUCUUAUUCACCUUGACAUAUGUUAAGUUUCACAAUAGUUCUGCUCCCUUAGCCCUUAUUCAUGCUUUACUUAAAUCAUAAUUCAUUACCUAAAUCUGCUUCACAAAACAUGAGAACUUCAUAAAGACCAGUAACAUCAUCUACUGAAAAACUAGUCACAGGAAUUCAAAAUAAUUCCUACUUCAUAAAGCAAGUGCAAGUAGUACACAGAGACAUAUAGAACCUUUGCAGGGUUUGAAAGAAAAAAAAAUACUUAUUCCAGAAUACUGAAAGGUAUUUGAUAUUUAAGAAGUUUCCACAGUUACAUUGAUAGCACUUUAAAUUGUUUAUGUCACUGCUUGACAGAAAGGAGCAAAUUAUCUGGAUAGGUUAAACUACUAGACAUAAUCAGACAGCUUACAAUUUCAGAUGAACUGGUAGUCAUGGUGGGAAAUUUUUCAAAGAUGUUCCUAGAAGACAAGGGCCAAGGGUUGUGUAGCUGCUGUAUUCAGCCCAAGAGCCCCCUAGAAAAGUUGUUGAAGUUAACUGCUUUUCUCCUGAGGACUCAGAUUGCCAAGCAACCCUCAGACCCCCCUGCAAUGCAGCUGAGGGCAAAAUCAAGACCAUAAUUGGGCCCAUACUGCCUACGAAGGUGGAGUCUCAUCCCUAAGAUGAAUUUCCUUCCUAUAAUUCUAAGUUAAAACACUAGAAACUUCAGGAGUCUUAUAAAAUCUGCAAGUACAGUUUGCAUAAUUGUCCUUCCACCCUCAGCCAUGGCUGACAUUGCCAAGAGUUCAGAACAGCUCUGCUGAAUGCUGCUAUACCUGUUUCUGUUUCCAUGGAAAUGGGCAUUGGCUAAAAUAAGCAUGGCUACUCACUCGGGGCCGCAUGGGGCCUUAUAAACAUUGACCUCCAUUGGGAGCAGUGGGAGGCCAGAGCCACAGGAGGAAUUGUACCUUAGAGAAGCAGAAGUCUUCCUGGAGCUCCUCAUCACACUCCUGUGUCCAUUUGGGGCAGCAUACUCUUCCCUGUACUCCAGAAGACAGCUGUACUGAUCACUGAUUAGGUGGUAGAGCAUGUUGGGCUCCCUCUUCCCUGUUCCCUUUGGGGUAUCUUGCACCCUAGAAGAUGCGAGGAGGGACAUCGUGGAAUGACAUUGUCCCUUUCCUGGCCACUGCAGAGUGGUGCAAAGGUUGGAGGAAACCUUGCGUCUUCCUGUCAAGCACUUACGGAGCAGCCAUGCAGAAUCUGGACCUCCACAGACACUUGAUGGAGUGUUACUAUGACAAUAUUUAGCUAAUAAAGUAUCUGUCUUUUUUUU